GCGGACGGCUCAUUAUAACAGUUAUUGUAUUAUUGAGAUUACUUUACAGGUGGAUACCCGUGGUAAUUCUAGAGCUAAUACAUGUCACAAAAAAUAUAUACUUUUAUAUAUUGAGCAUUUAUUUGUCCUCAAACCAAAAUGCUUUAGCAUUGCGGAUGAUUCAUAAUAAUGUUUGGAGAACGCUUUAAACAGUCGACAUAUCAUUCAAGUUUCUGACCUAUCAGUUAGUCAGUAGUGUAUUGGACUACUGAGGCGUUGACGGGUAACAGAGAAUUAGGGUUCUAUUCCGGAGAGGGAGCCUGAGAAACAGCUACUACAUCUAAGGAAGGCAGCAGGCGCGUAAAUUACCCAAUUCUGACACAGAGAGGUAGUGACAAGAAAUCACAAUAUUUUGCCUUAGGGUUAAGUAAUUGUAUUGAGAACAGAGUAGCCAUAUUAUCGAUAAACUAUUGGAGGGCAAGUCUGGUGCCAGCAGCCGCGGUAAUUCCAGCUCCAAUGGUGUAUGCUAACAUUGUUGCAGUUAAAAAGCUCGUAGUCGAAUUUUUAAGGGAAUCAAUUUUAUGUGGUCUUAAUGAACUGCAAAGAAAGAUGAUUUAUCUUACUUUAUGCUUUUGCACCGUUGGAAUUCGUUUUCUGAUAGUGGAGUAAGUUUGUGUUUACUUUGAGAAAAUUAGAGUGUUCAAAGCAGUCUUACGGCUUUAUAUUAAAGCAUGGAAUGAUAAAUAAUGACAUCGGUUAAUUUUUGUUGGUUUGAACGACUGAUGUAAUGAUUUAUAGAGUUAGUCGGAGGUAUUAGUAUUUUGUCGUUAGAAGUGAAAUUCUGGGAUCGACAAAAGACUAACAACUGCGAAAGCAUUUACCUAGAAUUANCUCCUUGAUCAAGAACGUAAGUUGGGGGAUCGAAGACGAUCAGAUACCGUCGUAGUCUCAACUUUAAACUAUAUCAGCUAGGGGUUGGCAAAUGUUUAUAUGACUUUGUUAGAACCUUAUGAGAAAUCAAAGCGUUUGGGUUCCGGGGGGAGUAUGGUCGCAAGGCUGAAACUUAAAGGAAUUGACGGAAGGGCACCACAAGAUGUGGAUCCUGUGGCUUAAUUUGACUCAACACUGGAAAACUCACCAGGUCCAGACAUAGGUAGGAUUGACAGACUGACAGCUCUUUCUUGAUUCUAUGGGUGGUGGUGCAUGGCCGUUCUUAGUUGGUGGAGUGAUUUGUCUGGUUAAUUCCGUUAACGAACGAGACCAUCACCUGCUAAAUAGAACAAUUUUUGUAUAGACUUGUUGCUUCUUAGAGGGACUGGCUUUGCAUAAAUUGCUGGCAGUCGGUGGCAAUAA
rnacentral:rRNA from 1 species